CAGGAUACCAUAGUUACCCUAUGACUUUCGUGCUGGUCUUGUUUGGUAUUCCUAGUAAGUUAGUAUUUUAAGAUCCCGGUUUCCACAAUAGUUCCAAAGCUGAUAGAAGUUGUCAUACAUGUGUAGGAUUCUAACUUAGGUAAUGUACCUCUUUCCUCUGAUCGUAUCUUUAGCUCUUUGUUCGUGUUUGGUUCAUAGUUAGUUAAUUUAGUAUAUCGAUAGAAACCCCCUAAGAUAAAUAAAAGCAAGUAAAUCAGUUAGGUUAGAUAAGUUAGUCGAGUCUACUAUUCGCAGUCAGUAGAGUCUUGUGGGUUCGAUUCUCAGACUUAGGAUAUACUGCAUUGACCGGUACACUUGUUGGUUGUGUGGUCUAGGUUUUAGAGAGUUUGUUUUUAUAAAUUUAAAACUUAACGUGUCUAGUUUAGGUAAAUAUUAGUUAGUUUUUAUUUGAC
rnacentral:lncRNA from 1 species